ACAGAGGUUGCUUGGCAACAUUUCAGUUUUCAUUUAUGCAAUAUCCCUGCCUAUGUGAAGACAAAAGCUCAAACAAAGGUUAAAGUUUUCAAAUGUUUUCAAUAUCAGGAUUUUAAUAAGUACAGACUUUAUAUUUUUACAUGCUGUACUCAACCAGAGAUCUGUUCUAACGUGAACUUACACGAAGCUUGAGAUACGUAGACAAAAGAUCUUCCCAUAACUUCAGUACUGCAGGUCAGAUCAAUUUUGGACAUUUGUAUCAGUCUCUCCAGAUUUUCUAUGGGGAUAAAAAGAUACCUGUUCUGCUGCAGCAACACAGGGGCUACCAUGUACAAGGAAAAGUUGCAUCAUGGGUGCUAAGCUGCUCUAGACUGCACAGACUUGGUUUCAGAAGAUGGAGACCCAAAAAUAACGAAGCAGUGGACUUGCAUCAAGUCUAGACGAUUAAACUCCAAACUCCUUUCCGAUCCUACAGAAACUGGAGAAUACAACUUCUUCCUAAUAUUCAAGAGAUCUAACCUGCUUCCACUGUCAACUCAACAACUGUGAAUACCAGAUGAGGCACCAACUGCUAAGAAUAUUUUUCAUCUUGAGAUCUACCUAAGUACAAACAGUUGAUUAUGCAACUAAACCAGUGACGAGACAGGCGCCCAGCACCUUGGUCUGCCCUACCUGAGCAAGUAUUUC